AUUGAACGCUGGCGGCAUGCUUUACACAUGCAAGUCGAACGGCAGCGCGGGCUUCUGCCUGGCGGCGAGUGGCGAACGGGUGAGUAAUGCAUCGGAACGUGCCCAGUAGUUGGGGAUAGCCCGGCUAAAGCCGGAUUAAUACCGCAUACGACCUGAUGGUGAAAGCGGGGGAUCGAAAGGCCUCGCGCGAUUUGAUGGGCCGAUGUCGGAUUAGCUAGUUGGUGGGGUAAAGGCUUACCAAGGCGACGAUCCGUAGCUGGGCUGAGAGGACGACCAGCCACACUGGGACUGAGACACGGCCCAGACUCCUACGGGAGGCAGCAGUGGGGAAUUUUGGACAAUGGGGGCAACCCUGAUCCAGCCAUGCCGCGUGCGGGAAGAAGGCCUUCGGGUUGUAAACCGCUUUUGUUCGGGAAGAAAUCCUCUGGGCUAAUACCCCGGGGGGAUGACGGUACCGGAAGAAUAAGCACCGGCUAACUACGUG
rnacentral:rRNA from 1 species